rnacentral:tRNA from 1 species
GCGGGGAUGGCCCAGCGGUACGGCGGCAGCCUGCUAAGCUGUUUCUCUAUGAGAGCGAGGGUUCGAAUCCCUCUCCCCGCGC